rnacentral:rRNA from 1 species
AGAGUUUGAUCCUGGACUCAGGACGAACGGCUGGCGGCGUGCCUAACACAUGCAAGUCGAACGAAGCUUGAUGAUGGAUUCUUCGGAAGAAAUCUGAUAUGACUGAGUGGCGGACGGGUGAGUAACGCGUGAGUAACCUGCCCUUAGGAAAGGGAUAGCGUCUGGAAACGGACGGUAAUACCAUAUAAAGUAUAUUAACGGCAUCGUAGAUAUACCAAAGCUGAGGCGCCUAAGGAUGGACUCGCGUCUGAUUAGAUAGUUGGUGGGGUAACGGCCUACCAAGUCGACGAUCAGUAGCCGGACUGAGAGGUUGGACGGCCACAUUGGGACUGAGACACGGCCCAGACUCCUACGGGAGGCAGCAGUGGGGAAUAUUGCACAAUGGGCGAAAGCCUGAUGCAGCAACGCCGCGUGAAGGAAGACGGUUUUCGGAUUGUAAACUUCUGUUCUUAGUGAAGAAUAAUGACGGUAACUAAGGAGCAAGCCACGGCUAACUACGUG